rnacentral:rRNA from 1 species
UACGAAGGGGGCUAGCGUUGCUCGGAAUUACUGGGCGUAACGGGCGCGUAGGCGGGUGUUUACGUCAGAGGUUAAAUCCCAGGGCUCAACCCUGGAACUGCCUUUGAUACUGGGCACCUAGAGUUCGGGAGAGGUGUGUGGAACUCCGAGUGUAGAGGUGAAAUUCGUAGAUAUUCGGAAGAACACCAGUGGCGGAGGCGACACACUGGCCCGAUACUGACGCUGAGGCGCGAAAGCGUGGGGAGCAAAUAGG